AAAUCAACCGAGAUUCCCCCAGUAGCGGCGAGCGAACGGGGAGCAGCCCAGAGCCUGAAUCAGUAUGUGUGUUAGUGGAAGCGUCUGGAAAGGCGCGCGAUACAGGGUGACAGCCCCGUACACAAAAAUGCACAUGCUGUGAGCUCGAUGAGUAGGGCGGGACACGUGGUAUCCUGUCUGAAUAUGGGGGGACCAUCCUCCAAGGCUAAAUACUCCUGACUGACCGAUAGUGAACCAGUACCGUGAGGGAAAGGCGAAAAGAACCCCGGCGAGGGGAGUGAAAAAGAACCUGAAACCGUGUACGUACAAGCAGUGGGAGCACGCUUAGGCGUGUGACUGCGUACCUUUUGUAUAAUGGGUCAGCGACUUAUAUUCUGUAGCAAGGUUAACCGAAUAGGGGAGCCGAAGGGAAACCGAGUCUUAACUGGGCGUUAAGUUGCAGGGUAUAGACCCGAAACCCGGUGAUCUAGCCAUGGGCAGGUUGAAGGUUGGGUAACACUAACUGGAGGACCGAACCGACUAAUGUUGAAAAAUUAGCGGAUGACUUGUGGCUGGGGGUGAAAGGCCAAUCAAACCGGGAGAUAGCUGGUUCUCCCCGAAAGCUAUUUAGGUAGCGCCUCGUGAAUUCAUCUCCGGGGGUAGAGCACUGUUUCGGCAAGGGGGUCAUCCCGACUUACCAACCCGAUGCAAACUGCGAAUACCGGAGAAUGUUAUCACGGGAGACACACGGCGGGUGCUAACGUCCGUCGUGAAGAGGGAAACAACCCAGACCGCCAGCUAAGGUCCCAAAGUCAUGGUUAAGUGGGAAACGAUGUGGGAAGGCCCAGACAGCCAGGAUGUUGGCUUAGAAGCAGCCAUCAUUUAAAGAAAGCGUAAUAGCUCACUGGUCGAGUCGGCCUGCGCGGAAGAUGUAACGGGGCUAAACCAUGCACCGAAGCUGCGGCAGCGACGCUGAUGCGUUGUUGGGUAGGGGAGCGUUCUGUAAGCCUGCGAAGGUGUGCUGUGAGGCAUGCUGGAGGUAUCAGAAGUGCGAAUGCUGACAUAAGUAACGAUAAAGCGGGUGAAAAGCCCGCUCGCCGGAAGACCAAGGGUUCCUGUCCAACGUUAAUCGGGGCAGGGUGAGUCGACCCCUAAGGCGAGGCCGAAAGGCGUAGUCGAUGGGAAACAGGUUAAUAUUCCUGUACUUGGUGUUACUGCGAAGGGGGGACGGAGAAGGCUAUGUUGGCCGGGCGACGGUUGUCCCGGUUUAAGCGUGUAGGCUGGUUUUCCAGGCAAAUCCGGAAAAUCAAGGCUGAGGCGUGAUGACGAGGCACUGCGGUGCUGAAGCAACAAAUGCCCUGCUUCCAGGAAAAGCCUCUAAGCAUCAGGUAACAUCAAAUCGUACCCCAAACCGACACAGGUGGUCAGGUAGAGAAUACCAAGGCGCUUGAGAGAACUCGGGUGAAGGAACUAGGCAAAAUGGUGCCGUAACUUCGGGAGAAGGCACGCUGAUAUGUAGGUGAAGUCCCUCGCGGAUGGAGCUGAAAUCAGUCGAAGAUACCAGCUGGCUGCAACUGUUUAUUAAAAACACAGCACUGUGCAAACACGAAAGUGGACGUAUACGGUGUGACGCCUGCCCGGUGCCGGAAGGUUAAUUGAUGGGGUUAGCGCAAGCGAAGCUCUUGAUCGAAGCCCCGGUAAACGGCGGCCGUAACUAUAACGGUCCUAAGGUAGCGAAAUUCCUUGUCGGGUAAGUUCCGACCUGCACGAAUGGCGUAAUGAUGGCUAGGCUGUCUCCACCCGAGACUCAGUGAAAUUGAACUCGCUGUGAAGAUGCAGUGUACCCGCGGCAAGACGGAAAGACCCCGUGAACCUUUACUAUAGCUUGACACUGAACAUUGAGCCUUGAUGUGUAGGAUAGGUGGGAGGCUU
rnacentral:rRNA from 1 species